UUUCCUCCGGAGCCCUUCACAAGGGGAGGAAUUCGGCCGCGUUGUCUGAGCCAGAGUUCCGGGAGGCCGGCGGCGCGGGCUGGAUCAUCCCGGUCAUGCAGAGCGGCGGCGCAGUGUGCUCUCGCGGGAAAUUGGACCUGCAGGCUUAUGGGGAGUUGCUGACGCAGAGCUCCGGGGCCCAGUCCGGCGCCACCUCUUCGGAAAGAUAACAUGGGGGAAGGCCCUUCCUACCUGUCCCGCGAGAGACAGAUGGGUGAGAAAUUCUAGGAUUCCUUUGGAUAAAAGGCAAAGAGGUACAGCAGACGAUCCCGCAAGUUCCCAGGCACAUUCAGAAUAAACUAACAAAUUAUGCCGUCAAGUGCUCUCACUAAAAAGACAGGUGGUCGAAUUUAUAUAGAAAACUACUUGCUUGACAAUAGGGUGAGGUUUCUUUCUGUCCUUAAAUUCUCUUCAGAUUGGAAGAG